UAAUACAGAGACCUCAAGCGUUAUCCGGAAUCAUUGGGCGUAAAGCGUUCCGAUAGGUGGUUUAGAAAGUUUUGGGUAAAAGCCAGAAGCUCAACUUCUGCGUUUGCUCAAAAUACUUCUCAACUAGAGGGGCAAAUAGGUAACUGGAACGAACGGUGUAGUAGUGAAAUGCGUUGAUAUCGUUCGGAACACCGAAAGCGAAGGCAGGUUACUGGGUGCCACCUGACACUGCUAGGACGAAAGCGUGGGGAGCGAAUGGGAUUAGAUACCCCAGUAGUCCACGCUGUAAACGAUGAAUAUUAGGCAUGCGCGAGUAUCGACCCUCGUGCGAGCCGUAGCUAACGCGUUAAAUAUUCCGCCUGGGGAGUACGGCCGCAAGGCUA
rnacentral:rRNA from 1 species